rnacentral:rRNA from 1 species
UACAGAGGGGGCAAGCGUUGUUCGGAAUUACUGGGCGUAAAGGGCGCGUAGGCGGCCUUCUAAGUCGAACGUGAAAUCCCUGGGCUCAACCCAGGAACUGCGUCCGAUACUGGAAGGCUUGAAUCCGGGAGAGGGAUGCGGAAUUCCAGGUGUAGCGGUGAAAUGCGCAGAUAUCAGGAGGAACACCGGUGGCGAAGGCGGGACUCUGGGCCGAUACUGACGCUGAGGAGCGAAAGCGUGGGGAGCGAACAGG